rnacentral:rRNA from 1 species
GAUGAACGCUGGCGGCGUGCCUAAUACAUGCAAGUCGAGCGAACAGACGAGGAGCUUGCUCCUCUGACGUUAGCGGCGGACGGGUGAGUAACACGUGGAUAACCUACCUAUAAGACUGGGAUAACUUCGGGAAACCGGAGCUAAUACCGGAUAAUAUAUUGAGCCGCAUGGUUCAAUAGUGAAAGACGGUUUUGCUGUCACUUAUAGAUGGAUCCGCGCCGCAUUAGCUAGUUGGUAAGGUAACGGCUUACCAAGGCAACGAUGCGUAGCCGACCUGAGAGGGUGAUCGGCCACACUGGAACUGAGACACGGUCCAGACUCCUACGGGAGGCAGCAGUAGGGAAUCUUCCGCAAUGGGCGAAAGCCUGACGGAGCAACGCCGCGUGAGUGAUGAAGGUCUUCGGAUCGUAAAACUCUGUUAUUAGGGAAGAACAAAUGUGUAAGUAACUAUGCACGUCUUGACGGUACCUAAUCAGAAAGCCACGGCUAACUACGCG